rnacentral:lncRNA from 1 species
GGGGCUGUCUGUGAAGCUUUGCGACAGUACAGCCCAGUUCUACAAGGCCUGGAGCUGAUAGGAAAAACCUCCCUUCUUUCCCAAAUGGUCCCCAGCUGCCCCGUUCACUGAAGGCCCUGCAGUCAGGAACGGUCAGGACUUCACACCCAGUUGUUGUGGGUGUUUGGCCGACACGACACUUCCUCUUGUGUGAUUCAUGGACCCGCAGCAUUGCGUCACCUGGGAGCUUUUGGUAUUGAAGACUCUCAGGGCUCACCCGGAAGGACCUGCUGGGCCAGAAUCUACAUUUUAACAAGAUGCCCAGAAACUCCUGGAGGGCAGAGGCAUGCCUGCCAUCUUCAUCAUUGCAUUACCACCACCCAACACUAUCGGGGGACCUGCCCUGAUAAUCAGUCUACAGGUGUAUCCAGCAGCUCCAGAGAGACAGCGACCAGCGAGAAGGGGCCAUGAUGAUGGUGGUGGUUUUGUCAAAACGAAAAGGGGGAUAUGUAGGGAAAAGAAAGAGAGAUCAGACUGUUACUGUGUCUACAUAGAAAGGGAAGCCAUAAGAGACUCCAUUUUGAAA